UUGAUGUUAAGGAUUUUAUCAUGCUUUUAAUUUUGUAUUUCUUACAGAACCUUGGACAGUACUGGACUUGUAAGAGAUGCUGUACCUAUAUGUACCAAUUGCUUGCUUUGGUACUAUAGGCUUAUAUUUUUCCCAUUGCUGUAUCUGGAUCAGCAAGAGGCAAAAAAGGAAACCUGGACCCUCCUUCUCCUCACAGACAUGCUGAUUCAACAACAUGGACCAAUUUCUUUUGUUAGAAAUCCAGAAACCUGUUGAAAGGCUCUUGCCACUGAGAUGAUAGGGACAAAAGCCAAAAUGAAUAAAAUGGCACCUUACUCAUAAUCUCUUCCUCCUACUCCGUGCCACACAAUCAUGAGAAAAACCAGAAUUCCCAGCUUCUCCCUAAGAAGGGAAGGAGAAGACUGGACCAUAUGUCCAAAGUUCAGACUAUUUAGGGGGCUGCCCAAGGUACCAAUUACUGUACUCACUAGGAGCACUGAUUGGAAAAGGGCCCAGGUCUGGGAACACUGAGAAUAUAGUCCGCGGUUUGAAUUAGCACGCUCUAUUAGCCAAAGUUCUUCCCCUGGUUCAGCACUGAGCAAGAGAGAACACCCAAAUCCUUCCUUCUCCCUGGGAAGGGAAAGAGUCGAAGCAUGCAAGAGGGAAAGAGAAAAAUAAAACAUAUAUCUAACAUUCAGACUUUCCAGGGAGCUCCCCAAGGGACUGGUUUUUGUCUUGCCUGUCUCUAAGUACGGACAGGAUAUAGUACACUCUGGAUGCCUGGGGACCAGCGUAUGCUGCUUCUUCACAGGAACUACAAGAUAA